AUGGCUCAGGAUGAACGCUGGCGGCGUGCUUAACACAUGCAAGUCGAACGGGCCUAAGACUGAAGCUUGCUUUAGUUUAGGUUAGUGGCGGACGGGUGAGUAACGCGUGGGUAACCUACCCUGUGCAGGGGGAUAGCAGCUGGAAACGGCUGAUAAAACCGCAUAACACGGCAAGAUCGCAUGAUGAUGCCGUCAAAUAUUUAUAGGCACAGGAGUGGGCCCGCGUCUGAUUAGCUAGUUGGCGGGGCAACGGCCCACCAAGGCGACGAUCAGUAGCCGGCCUGAGAGGGUGAACGGCCACAUUGGGACUGAGACACGGCCCAAACUCCUACGGGAGGCAGCAGUGGGGAAUAUUGGACAAUGGGGGGAACCCUGAUCCAGCGAACCGCCGCGUGAGUGAAGAAGUAUUUCGGUAUGUAAAGCUCUAUCAGCAGGGAAGAUGAUGACGGUACCUGACUAAGAAGCACCGGCUAAAUACGUGCCAGCCGCAGC
rnacentral:rRNA from 1 species